AUGAGGAAAGUGAGCCCCAGGGAAGUGAAGAAACUAGAUCAAGAUAACAUGGAACGAAGAUUUGGACUUGGCCUCCCCAGGCCUAGCACAGGCCUCUUUCUUAUUGAAUUGCUUGUUUUUCUUGUUGGUGGGAAAGAGAUUUGGAGAAUUAUGUUGGUGGCCCUUAAAUCACACCAAGCCAGCAUCUGUCUGUGUCCAAGGAGGCAGGCAGUGAGUCUUGUGUGUGUACAUUUGCCCACCUUCAGAACCUUUGGCUCGUGCCUUUACCAGCACUGUUUUCUACUCAUUCUAGCAGACAGAUUGGCCUCUUUCCCAACCUGGGUCUUCAGCAGAGUGGUUCAUGAAGGGUUUGUUCAGAAUCCUGAUUCCAGGUAUAAUCUGCAUGAACCUCAUGGAGAAGGAGCCCCUUCUCAGAAGGUUCUAUGCUUGAAGAAGUUUAAGAAUACUUAUGGUAUCCUGAUCUGAGUCCUGAGGCAGGGCUACUGAACUGAGCCAUCCCCACAUACUAAUAAGCAACUUCUUGCACAGCUCUAAUUUGUCCAGACGUAAGAAAGCUACCAACACAAUAUUCACUUGAAAAUGACAACUUUGCAAUAGUAGUUCUACCUACUCCUAACAAGCGGAAGAAUUCUUGCACAGACAUUCUUAUAUGCACUUAAACAUUGGCCGCUAAGGGGCUCCGGUCUGUUCAACUCUUGGUUCCUUAGAUAUUUUAAAAUAUCUCCCCCCAACUACAACUUAGAUUCCCAUUCACAGAAAGGACAUGAUCAUUAAAAUUAGGAUCUGUGAAAUCAUUUCUUAUCUGAAGAAAAUACUAUAUUCCAACAUGAUGGAGAAGUUAUCUUUUCUGGAUUUUUCAACACAGAGGACAUUUGUGUUCUGUGAGUUUAAUGUUUCAUUUAGAUCUUAAGAAUGAAAAACACUACAAUUGCUGUACCUUUCUUUCGUUACUUUGGACAGGAUUUAAAUAAGGGACUCUUGAUUUUGAUAGAGAGCAGUUGUUGUUUCAUUAAAAAAGAAAAAAUAAUGUACAAAUCUACUUAAUGUAUCAGAGAAGUUGAUGGAACUUCUUAAUAGUCUGAGAAACAAUUACAGUUUACAUAUUAUAGAACUGUAGAUUUGGAAGGGAAUUCAUUAGCUCACUCUUUGGGUGUGGCCAAACUUACUCAUGUCUGGCUACUUUCCUAAGUUUCUUCUCAAAAUGGAAUGUACAUUUGGAGAAAAGAGACAAAACAAGAGCAUGUAAAAACAUAGCAAAUGCCAAAUUUGUGUAUUAUAUUUAUAUAUAAUAUAUGUUAUAUAUUAUAUUUAUAUAUAAUAUAUGUUAUAUAUUAUAUUUAUAUAUAAUAUAUGUUAUAUAUUAUAUUUAUACUUUUUCCCUUCAUGAAGUCAAUUAUACCUUUUUUUUACUCUUCAUACAACUUUUAAAACACUGUGAGAUUGAAGCCAGUUUAAAUCUGAAAUACUAUAGAAUAUUAAUGACUGCAGCCUGACUAGCCAUUUUGUUAAAGCAAUUUAAAUGACAUUAGAAGUAGUAAAAACAACAUUGAUACUAUAAAUAACCAAAAUUAGUGAGAUAAAAGAUAGUAUUGAGAAAAAUCCAAAAAUGACUGAGGAAAAGGACUGAAUUGCAAGAGAUUAGAAAUGACAUCAUGGCUAUGAAGAAUAGUCGAUGGAGAUUUAAUAUACAGAAAAUAGCAAUUUAUGGACAAGAAAAGAGAAAAAAUAAAACAUUUAAUGAUAUAAUAUAAGAAAACUUU
rnacentral:lncRNA from 13 species